rnacentral:rRNA from 1 species
CAGUCGCGUUUGCUGGGACUCAACCUUGCUUUUGCCUGGUGUACUUCUCAGUAAAUGGGCCAACAUCAAUUUUGGUGGUCAUAAAAUGGCUGGAGGAAUGUAGCUUCGAUCUUGUAUUGAAGUGUUAUAGCCUUCGGUAGAUGUGAUGAUCGGGAUUGAGGAUUGCAACGGAUACCCCUUCGGGGGCUACCUGUCUGGUCUCUGAUCGCUGCUCUGGUGCCGAAAGCUUGCUUACGGUUAUCAAAGUCGAUGGUCAAUAGGUUAGAACGGGUUAAAUUCGUUAAGGAUGUUGACGUAAUGGCUUUAAACGACCCGUCUUGAAACACGGACCAAGGAGUCUAACAUAUAUGCGAGUGUU